rnacentral:lncRNA from 1 species
UUAUCUCUCCGUACACGUUGGAAACAUAUUUUCCAUCGCCAGUAGCUUAUCCUCGUUGAAUUGGAAUACCAAAUUCUUAUUGGACUCUAUCAAAUUAUUACUAGUCCCACAUCGCCAUUCAUCUUCAAAUAGCCGUACCACUAAAUCUAUAUAAACCCCUUAUUCUCAUGUAGUUUGAGCAUUAAUCUUUGGUUCUUGCAAGCUGCUCUGAAAAACAGUAACGAGAAGGUAAAAAAAAAUUUGUUUAUUUUCUCCUGCGUUUUCUUUGCCUGUUCUUUUCUUUUUUUUUUUUCCUUUUUUUGUAGGUCAAGAAAAGAAAGAUAGGUUCUUGUUCAACAAAUGAUCCACGCAUGAAGAAGACGGACUUAGGGUGUGAGGGGAUGGGUAUUCAUUGUCCAAAUAUCGGAGAGAUUACUCUCAGUGGUUCGACUAUCGGAGAGAUUACUCUCAAUAUGACUCGACUAUCGGAGAGAUUACUCUCAAAAUUGAUAGGUUUUAAGUUUAAGUUUCAAUGAUGGCAAUAUUAUCUUAUGUUAUAUUUUCAGGACAACCAAAAAGGAAAGAAUGAAGAUGAUUAUCAAGAUUGCUACUGGUUUCAAAAUAAAGGAAGAAGGAAGAAUCAGUUACUGCAUUAAUGAUCAAUUAAGAAGCAGAUUGACUCGUCCCUAAUCAAGGAUAGAAUGAAGAUUCAGUUAAAGCAUUAAUGAUCAAUCAAGAAGCAGAUUGACUCAAUCAGAGGAACUCAGAUUACCAAUCAUGGCCACUCCAGUCUCGAAGAACACACUUAUGAAUUAAUCAUUCCUUGAAUUCAGCCAUGACAAGGAAGGUCACAUUCGAAUCUGGGCAAAUCAAAGAGCAAGAUUCAAAGAAGCACCUCUUAGGCCAAAUCCCUUAAUUAAAGAUCUUGUGCCUCUAGUUUCAAAAAGGAUUCAACGACUCUUUUCUCCUGUAUAAAAAGGCUGCUCUCUCAAGAAGAAGAUCACGCAGCUACAAAAAGUGUAUUCCUAACCUGUCUACUUCUUAGUUCAAACACUGUAAUUCUGAGUUAUCAGUGUCUCAAAAGAUA